rnacentral:rRNA from 1 species
CACCAGCGCCACGAGUGGCGUUCACGAUUAUUGGGCCUAAAGCGUCCGUAGUCUGCUUGGUACAUCUUCUGUGAAAUCGCAGCGCUUAACGUUGCGGCAUGCGGAAGACACGGCCGAGCUUGAGACCGGGAGGCGUAGAGGGUACUCCGGGGGGACCGGUAAAGUGGUAUAAUCCCCGGAAGACCACCUGUGGCGAAGGCGCUCUACGAAUACGGAUCUGACGAUGAGGGACGAAAGCCAGGGGAGCAAACCGG